rnacentral:misc_RNA from 1 species
GUUUUCGCAGCCUGACAGAAGGAAAAGGCAAGUGGAAGAAAUGAGAUGUUUAAAAAGUGUAUAAAAUAUCAGCACACUGGAAGAGAAUCGGAUUCUGGGGGCUUGGUGGCCGCUGCAAAAGCAAGCUCGAGCUGCAUUUUAGCACCACCCAACAGGCCAAGUGACCAUCACCAUUAACAACUUCGCCGACUCAUUGGUUUCUUGACCGCCACUACCACCAUAAUCGAAUCCGUAUCCAACAUGGAGCAAUUUCUUUGUGAUCGGUUGCUCGACCUGACGCAACCCAUCUCCGAGCGGUUUAGAGCGCUCUUCUCACUCCGCAACCUCAAAGGCUCCGCUCCCCG